rnacentral:rRNA from 1 species
GACGAACGCUGGCGGCGUGCCUAAUACAUGCAAGUUGAACGCUGAAGGUUGGUACUUGUACCAACUGGAUGAGCAGCGAACGGGUGAGUAACGCGUGGGGAAUCUGCCUUUGAGCGGGGGACAACAUUUGGAAACGAAUGCUAAUACCGCAUAAAAACUUUAAACACAAGUUUUAAGUUUGAAAGAUGCAAUUGCAUCACUCAAAGAUGAUCCCGCGUUGUAUUAGCUAGUUGGUGAGGUAAAGGCUCACCAAGGCGAUGAUACAUAGCCGACCUGAGAGGGUGAUCGGCCACAUUGGGACUGAGACACGGCCCAAACUCCUACGGGAGGCAGCAGUAGGGAAUCUUCGGCAAUGGACGAAAGUCUGACCGAGCAACGCCGCGGGAGUGAAGAAGGUUUUCGGAUCGUAAAACUCUGUUGGUAGAGAAGAACGUUGGUGAGAGUGGAAAGCUCAUCAAGUGACGGUAACUACCCAGAAAGGGACGGCUAACUACGUG